rnacentral:rRNA from 1 species
AGUGAACGCUGGCGGUAGGCCUAACACAUGCAAGUCGAACGGCAGCACAGUAAGAGCUUGCUCUUACGGGUGGCGAGUGGCGGACGGGUGAGGAAUACAUCGGUAUCUACUUUUUCGUGGGGGAUAACGUAGGGAAACUUACGCUAAUACCGCAUACGACCUACGGGUGAAAGCAGGGGAUCUUCGGACCUUGCGCGAUUGAAUGAGCCGAUGUCGGAUUAGCUAGUUGGCGGGGUAAAGGCCCACCAAGGCGACGAUCCGUAGCUGGUCUGAGAGGAUGAUCAGCCACACUGGAACUGAGACACGGUCCAGACUCCUACGGGAGGCAGCAGUGGGGAAUAUUGGACAAAGGGCGCAAGCCUGAUCCAGCCAUACCGCGUGGGUGAAGAAGGCCUUCGGGUUGUAAAGCCCUUUUGUUGGGAAAGAAAAGCAGCAGGUUAAUACCCCGCUGUUCUGACGGUACCCAAAGAAUAAGCACCGGCUAACUUCGUG